AUAACUCGAAACACACUUAGAAUGACUCAAAAUAAUGAAAACAAUCAAAUUAGACACUAGGAGCUGAAAUGGACAGAAAUUGAAUUAAAAGACUAACAACAAUGAAAACUAACUAAAUAAUAUAAUUUAAUAAUGGGGGGGGGUUGGUUUUGACGAGAAGUAAAUUAAACUUAAAUAAAUUACAGAAUUGACAAAAGCAUGAAAUUAAGGUGAAAUGAUAGGUGACGGACUAGCUAGAGAGUUCUUCUCCACACAUGACACAUAUGCAACCUAAAUUGAUUUUCAGUUGUUCUUUCAAUAAAUUGUGAAUGACAAUGUUCCAAGUUAAUUAGGUCCGCUUAAAUUAACUCUUAGAUUUCCCUAAAUUCAUUGGAUUGAAUGGAAUACGCAUUACAACCAAAUUAUUCCUCAUCAAAGUCCCUAACAAUGAAAUACGCAUGAUAGAAACAUUCAACAAAGAUCAUUAAGUUCAACGGAAAUCAUAAACAUUGACUAGGCAUUCAUAACUAUGGAAUACGCAUGUUAAUCCCGCCUAGAAUUCACUUAACACGAUUGUGGAUAACAACCUUCACUACUUGUGAAUAUAAGUUCAUAACGAUUAGGUGAAAUUCACUUAUAUUCUAGCAUCAAGUUUAGGCAUGCAAAUUAAGUGUCGACCCUCAACCCACAUACAUAAACAAGUUAUCAAUCAAGUAGUUAAGCAAAUUAAAUCACAACUCAGAAAUCACAACUGAAGGUAAUCAAUUCAUAUUACAAAUAUAUUCAUGGCUUUGAAUUAACCUCUAGCCAAAAUAAAUUUAGUUACACAUUAUUAAAAUAGAAAUAAAAUAUAAGUUUGGAAAGAUUUAACCGAGAGAUUGAGUGAAGCCUCUGCUUCUGUCCGUGCCUUUGAACCCCCGAGGCUCACGCUGCAAAGCAGCUUUCUGCUUAUUCCUCUCUUGCGCACUGCCUAUCUCUGCUUCUCUUUGCUUCGCACGUCAAUCCCUCUCUCUCUGCUGCCCUAUUUCUCCUGUCUCUCCGAGGCUCACGCUGCCCUCUCCUUUUUAUUUUCUUUUUCUGCUUUUCAGAGCUUCCAGGGCAGCUAUCCUCCUUCUCUCGCUGCAAGGCUCUGACCUGCCUUCCAAUCCCUACUGUCCUUCUUCUGACCUG
rnacentral:lncRNA from 1 species